rnacentral:lncRNA from 1 species
AGUAGAUGAGGGGAUCACUACAACCAUAAGAUAGAAAGGUCAAAUUAAGUAGAACAUUUCUAACCCUCACAGGAAUCUUAUGAGAUAUUAUUAUCCCCAUUUUUCAGAGGAAGACACGGUGGUUCAAAAAGUCAACUUACUACUAAUUGAACAUACAACUUAUUAGUUGAGUGUGUGAACUCACACAUCUCCAUGAGGUAGCAUCACAACAUCUCAUCCACCUAGCUCAGGGGAUAAAGCAAGAUAACACAGGCUGGAGGGGCUAGAGAGAAGUGAGAUGAGGGAGACAAGAUGAAGUCGCAUCCAAAGAUGAGGUGGCCACUGGCUGAUGGAUCGAUUCCGACAAGAAUAAAACAAUUCAUAGAAAUCAAUGUCACCGACCCGCAGAUGCAUCUCAGAAUUGAUGCCAAACACAAGGGCAGCAUGAAAACACACAGCUCCCAAACUGAAGGAGCUGUAGCAUCUUGAAGACAUCUGGCCUGCAGAAACAGAAUGCUCAAUAAUACCCAUUCGUGGUUACUGAGAAGUCACUACACGUUGAGCACUAGGCUACAUGUUGACAUUUAAGAACUAUAACAUCCUAAUAAGUAAGUGUUAAUAUUCUUAUUCCUAUUUUAAGGUUAAGGAAACUGAGGUUAAAGAA